GAAAGCGGCGCAAGGGAGAGUAACGCGUGGAUCAUCUGCCCUCAGGUCUGGGAUAGCUGCGGGAAACUGCAGGUAAUACCGGAUAAUGUCUUCGGACCAAAGGUGCGAUUCCGCCUGUGGAUGAGUCCGCGUCCUAUUAGCUUGUUGGUGGGGUAACGGCCUACCAAGGCUGCGAUGGGUACCGGGCGUGAGAGCGUGGCCCGGCUCACUGGGACUGAGACACUGCCCAGACGUCUACGGACGGCUGCAGUCGAGAAUCUUCCGCAAUGGACGAAAGUCUGACGGAGCGACGCCGCGUGCGGGAUGAAGGCCUUCGGGUUGUAAACCGCUGUCAGUUGGGAGGAAAUCUUAUGGGGUUCUCCCCUUAAGUUGACCUAUCUUCAGAGGAAGACCGGGCUAAGUUCGUGCCAGCAGCCGCGGUAAGACGAACCGGUCAAACGUUAUUCGGAAUCACUGGGCUUAAAGGGUGCGUAGGCGGCUUGGAAAGUUGGGUGUGAAAGCCCGCAGCUCAACUGCGGAAUUGCGCUCAAAACUGCCAGGCUUGAGGGAAGUAGGGGUGAGCGGAACUGAUGGUGGAGCGGUGAAAUGCGUUGAUAUCAUCAGGAACACCUGUGGCGAAAGCGGCUCACUGGAC
rnacentral:rRNA from 1 species